CAAUGGAAGGAACUCUGAUGCAGCGACGCCGCGUGAGUGAAGAAGUAUUUCGNNUAUGUAAAGCUCUAUCAGCAGGGNAAGAUAAUGACGGUACCUGNACUAAGAAGCACCGGCUAAAUACGUGCCAGCAGCCGCGGUAAUACGUAUGGUGCAAGCGUUAUCCGGAUUUACUGGGUGUAAAGGGUGCGUAGGUGGCAAGGCAAGUCUGAAGUGAAAAUCCGGGGCUCAACCCCGGAACUGCUUUGGAAACUGUUUAGCUAGAGUACAGGAGAGGUAAGUGGAAUUCCUAGUGUAGCGGUGAAAUGCGUAGAUAUUAGGAGGAACACCAGUGGCGAAGGCGACUUACUGGACUGCUACUGACACUGAGGCACGAAAGCGUGGGGAGCAAACAGGAUUAGAUACCCUGGUAGUCCAAGGGCGAAUUC
rnacentral:rRNA from 1 species